rnacentral:lncRNA from 1 species
AUACAAGAGUACAAUAAGUUCAAAAGAGCAAUGAAAUAAUGAAGUGACCAGUGUUUUACUAGCUUUUUCAGGCAUCCUCAGGGCAGAUUACUGUUAUUCUGUGUGACUUUGAGGAUUGUAAGUUUACAAAACACUACUCAGGGCAGUUCACCCUAGAGGACGCUGGUGCAGACAGACAGCAGAAGUGGCUACACAGUCACAAUGAUGACAUCAACUGGUCACAAAGAACCCUGAUGGCUCAACAUAAUCCUAAAAGACCAAUGAGUUCCAACUUUCCCUGACACAUGGCGAAUAUCCAAACAGUUCAAUGGAUUAAAUUUGCUCCAAAGAGCUUCUCAACUAAAAAAUGCCUGUAUAUAAAUGGUGUGAUCACCUGCAUGGUUUAACAGAACUGAAACGGCUCAGAAGACUCUCAAAGACAAAGCUGCUCACCAAAUGGCAGCUACUGAAAUGUAUCCAAAAGAACACUAAAAUUCAAAGAAGCCUCUAAACUAAAAAGGCUGGUGAAGUCUAAGGUGCCCAAUGAAAAAUUUUGUGAGAGUCCAAACCAAAUCCAAAUUCUUAUUUAUCUGCUUCACCAAACAGAGGCCAAAAGCAGCUGCUGUGGGCUGAAAAACGAAAGAAAUCCUGCCUGAUACGGAACAAUAUCCAGUAAAGAGAAUAAUUUAUACAAAGCAUAAAAUUUUGAAAUGAGCAAACAGAUUAAUUUAACUGGAGAGUCCAUAUAAGACAGUAAUGAGAAAACCAUACCAUAAUCUCAAUGGAUGCUGAAAAUGCAUUGGACAGACUCCAACAGCAAAGACCUAAGUAAAAAUGGAUGGCUACUUUCUUAUCACAAUCAGAAGCAUCUGUGAUGUCGGAGGGUGUAUUUGAUGAUGAAACAUGCUGGGAAUUCUAAUAAAAAUGAGCCACAAAACUCAAUAGCUCUGGAGUUCAUGGAUGAAAAAUACACAUGCAAAUAGUGAAGUCUUAUUCUAGAUGUCCUUAAUAUAUAUUUUAAUGUGGUGAGAAUAUAAAUGGCUGACUACUGGCAUGAAAAUUAACCAAAGAGGGACCAAAGAGAUGACUCUGUGCUUCAAAACACUUGCUGUUCUUGCAAAGGACCUGGUUUGGAUUUAAGCAACCACAUUACGGCUCACAACUAUCUGUAGCUGCAGCUCCGGAGACUUCAGCACCCUCUUCUGGCCUCUGCAGACACUACUUAUGUGGUACACAUACCUCCAAUACAGUCAAAACACUCAUAUAUAUAUUAA